rnacentral:rRNA from 1 species
AUACGGAGGAUGCGAGCGUUAUCCGGAUUUAUUGGGUUUAAAGGGUGCGUAGGCUGUGCGUUAAGUCAGGGGUGAAAUGCCGUCGCUCAACGACGGAGCUGCCCUUGAUACUGGCGUGCUGGAGUACGGAUGCCGUUGGAGGAAUGAGUGGUGUAGCGGUGAAAUGCUUAGAUAUCACUCAGAACACCGAUUGCGAAGGCAUCUGACGAAUCCGUCAAUGACGCUGAGGCACGAAAGCGUGGGGAUAGAACAGGAUUAGAUACCCUGGUAUUCCACGCCGUAAACGAUGAUGACUAACCGUCGGCGAUAGACAGCCGGUGGCCAAGCGAAAGCGAUAAGUCAUCCACCUGGGGAGUACGGCGGCAACGAUGAAACUCAAAUGAAUUGACGGGG